CUACAAAGUGAUCCAUAGCAAUUCUGGAGUGGUGAGUUUGAUUUUCAUUAUGCUGGCUUAACAAAGGUACUGAAAACAUGUUGUUUAUAUAUUUAAGCUUAUUAUUAUGGUUCCAUAUUAUUAUAUUAGUUGUAACUGAAGUUGUAAUUCUGAGUCACAUAAAACUAAUUUAUUGCAGAGCUUGAAGAUGUGCUGGAAGAGACAGUAGAUACUCGUUCAGUCCUCCAGUAAGUGGACAUCAGGAGAUAUUUCCUCAGUAUGAUAAGGGGUCCAGAGCAUUGGCUCUGCUGGUUUAAAACCACCAAGACCUGCUACUUGGCUCAGGAGGGAUUCCCUUAUAUCAAUACAGAUUAUUGUUUCACUGGCAUACAGGUAAGGGAUUAUUCAUUGUAUCAUCACAAAACCUUUGUUAAUUGAAGUGACUAACUGUCAUAAUGUGUAUAUGUAUUGUAAAUAGUAACUUAUGGAAUUUUGUCUGCAGUGUCAAUAAUUGUUUUUGUUUGUAUCUUUUUUAAAUUACAUCAACCCUUGAAAAGUUUUACCUGCACCUACCUGUAUGUGGGUCCAGAUGGUCAGGUGGACACCUCCACUUGGGUGCAGGAACAUGGUCAUAACUCUCCCUACACUCCACCAUUACAACUUCCUGGAUGUGUUUUACGAGCUGCUUCACUUCAGAUACUCCACUUCACUCAGCUCCUGAGGCAGGAUGAGGGAUGAUUCUUGCAGAGCCUGUUUGGGUUCAUCAACAUGUGGGACACAGAUGUUUGGGAGCCUGCAGCAGAGUUGUACUUCACAGUGCCUAUUCAGAAGGAUGUCUUCAUGAGUGAAAUAGAUUUCAUUAGACAGACCUUUGAGGACAUGCAGGAGCAGAAAAUUUGCUUGAUGCAGAAUCUCUACAGAACAGCCAAUGCCAACAUCAUGCUCAUGUC
ensembl:lncRNA